CUCAUCUGGACAUCUGGCUUGAUGGUGUCGCUUCCUGGUUUCCAGCCAGCGGGGCACACUGCAAAAGCGAGAAAGACCCUGAGCAUUGACCUUUGACCUUAAACAGGGCUACACAUUACGGCAGUAUUAACAGACCACGUUUUAACAGCAUUUUAACAGUAUUUUUUUCCGAAGUAUCUCGGUACAUCAACCUUCCGGUGGGAAGCGCUAGAAGUGAAGAUGACCGACAUACUUGCAGACGCUCAGAGGUGGCGGUAGGCAGUACCUUCUCCGUGCUUGUCCGUAAACUGAAACGCCUGCACCAGGCGAAGAGUCUCCUCCACGGAACGGCCCACCGGCAGAUCGUUGAUAGUGAUCUGCCUCAGGAUGCCCUUAUCGUCAAUGAUGAACAGCCCCCUG